rnacentral:rRNA from 1 species
UAUUUUAAAGAGAGUUUGAUCCUGGCUCAGGACGAACGCUGGCGGCGUGCCUAAUACAUGCAAGUCGAACGAACGGAGGAAGAGCUUGCUCUUCCAAAGUUAGUGGCGGACGGGUGAGUAACACGUGGGCAACCUGCCUGUAAGUUGGGGAUAACUCCGGGAAACCGGGGCUAAUACCGAAUGAUAAAGU